GUCUGUUUGUAUUAAUAGGCCUUUGGGUACACUAUGUAAAGGACAUAUUAUAAAAUGGCCAGUUUAUAAUUGUCCAAAUGCAAUUGUUCAGCAAUUUUUUGAUAAUUAUUGACCUACACAGUCUAGAGAAUUGUACUUCAGUGGUUUUAUUGAUUUUCAGCUUAAACCAUUGGACUAGUUUGCAAAAGUAGCUUUUUUAAAUAAUCUUGAAUAUUUAAUUAACAGUUUUAUUGACAACAUUGGUCCAAAAGUUUUUCAGAAUGAGGUGCUCUAUCAUAUGAUAUGAAGCUCUAGUGUUUGUGUGAAUAUAUGAGCAUUUUCAACCAAUUUGAGGCCAUUUACCCUAUAAAUCUUGUGUAUUUGAGACAUUUUCUACUGUUAUAGCGCCACCUAUGGUCUGAUCUCCAUGAAACUUUGCAUGCUUGUUCAGAGUAAUCUGACACAUGUUUUCACCAAGUUUCGUAAAGUUUUAAGGUUUCGUUUAGGUUUUAUAGGCUUUUAGGUAUUUUGGCCACACCCCUUUUCUAAAUUAACCUGUUAUAGCUAACCAAAGGACAAAAUUCAAUUUUUGUUUUGAUAAUUAUUGAUUUAGAGAGUCCAGAGAAUUGUUCAGUAGUGGUUUGAUCGAGAUUAAGUGAAAAACCUAGGACUAGUUCGCAAAAGUAAGUUUUUAACUUAUUUCUGAAUAUUUAAUGAACGAUUUGAAUGACAGCAUUAGGCCUAGAGGCAAAGUUGUUCGGAAUGAGGAGUUCUAUCAUAUGAUUUUAAGAUGUAGUGUUUGUGUGAAUAUAUGAAGAUGUUCUACAAUUUGAGGUCAUUUUCUUUAGAAAUCUUUUGUUUUUUGAUGCUCUUUUAACUGUUAUAGCGCCAACUAUGGGCCGAUCUCCAUGAAUCUUUGCAUGCUUGUUAAGAGUCAUCUGCUAAAUGUUUUCACCAAGUUUCAUAAAGUUUUGAGUUAUCAUUUAGGUUUUAUAGGCUUUUGAGUAUAUUUGGCCACGCCCCUUUUAAAAAUAACCCAGUUAUAGCUAACCAAAGGACAAAAUUCAACAUUUUUUUGAUAAUUAUUGAUCUAGAGAGUCCAGAGAAUAUUACUGCAGUGGUUUGGUUCUGAUUGGGCGAAAAACCUAGGACUAGUUCGCAAAAGCAGGUUUUUAACAUAUUUGUGAAUAAUUAAUGAACGAUUUGACUGACAGCAAUGGUUCUUGAGGCAAAGUUGUGGAUUAUGAGGAGAUCUAUCAAAUGAUAUGCAUAUUGUGUGAAUCUGUGUAACACCACGUGAUUACUGAGCCAAAAAACUCGUUAGCGCCAACUAGUGGCCGAUUUCUUUCAAAAUUCUUACAGACCUUUAGGGCCAUGAGUCGAACAUGCCCACUGAGUUUCGUUCCGAUCAACCUCUGUUAACCUUGUUUAAUAGGUGCUUAAAUUUGUUUGGCCAAUGGCGGCCAUGUUUUUUGAGAUAUGCAAAUGUCCUCAUAGACACUUGUGCCCCUUCAGACAAAGACACUGCAUACCAAUUUUCAAGUCGAUCAGACGAAUGGUUGCCUAGUUAUAGCCAUUUAUGGGUUUUUUCUAUUUUAUAGCGCCCCCAAGCGGCAGAGAUGCGCAAUUUUUUUUAUUUGACCAAAGAUUGAGCUUAUAAACAUGUGUACCAAGUUUGGUGUAGAUAUCUCAUUCCAUUCAAGAGUUAUAGCUAAAAUAACAUUUGGCUAACGUUAGCAUAGACGCUUUUUG
ensembl:lncRNA